AGGCGUCUCAAGGAAGAAAAACAUGGGGGCGAUUCUGGCGCAACAUGAUGUCACAAGAUAAAGGACAGGACCUCAUGGCCGCUCGAAAACUCAACAGUAAAGAGAAUGCCAGGACCCUAAAUGAACCCCUACUAACCCUAAGUGAGUCAGAGAAAGUCUCCACCGAUGACUCCCCAGGACCGUGCGGCCACCAACGGAGCCAGCCUGCUGGCCAAAAGAAGGUAGAAAGCGCUUUCAGGCCUGCCCAGUGUCUCCUGGCGGAUAAGUGUGGCCCUUACUCCCCCAGGUGCCAUGAGGCCACGUGGGGGGGUGACGGCCCCGAGCUCCUCGCGGUCUGGCUCCCCGCAGAAAAACCCCAACUCCCAAGAAACGCCCGGGCCGGAAGCGGAAGCGCGGGUGCGUGCGUGCUGCAUUCUGGGAAGUGUAGUCCACAGAGGCCGGAAGAGUCCGUGAGAGCGGUGCAUUUGGGGGAAGGUAGUCGUCUAGUGGUCUGAGAGCCGGCGGCGUGAGCUGGAGUGGUUCACCUAAACCCCACGCCGUGGCGGGGGUUAACAGUUUGGGGACUUAGAGUGAAUACGUAGAAUUUGGUUUUGUCUCUCCCAACCACCAACACCCACGGAAGCGGAGAAUAGGACCUAUCCACGCUUCAGUGAUGGCAAGCAGGCCUGAGUUAUUCCGCCCUCGAACGAGUAAAUCAGCUGCGUAACCUCCCGGAACCUUUGUUUCCGUAUCUGUAAAACGGGCAGAUUAAUCAUUCUCACUUGGCAGCUUUGAUAACUCAAUCAAGUAACUAGCAAGGUGCUUAACACACCUUCCUUGCUUGACAAACCCCUCUUCCCUUUGAAGCUGAGCGUGCAGAGCAAAUGGAUGUGUUUUGUAACCAGGAGCAAAAAUUGUGCUUCAGCGGAGCACUUGGGACGUUUUCUUUGCAAAGUAGGAGUUCCUGCAAAUUCCAGCCAAAACUCAUAGGGAGAAAUAUAAGGAAAUCUUGUCACCCAGAGACUCAGCAAGGACGUGUGACCUUACUAGCCAACACACAGUAAGAUUGUUGAAACUUUCAAAGUAAACAGUAGGCAGCAAAAAGAACGAGAAAGCUCCAUAUGCACUGAUGGGGGAAAAGCUUCAAGAAAUGGGAUCUUGCAGAGCGUACUCUUUGGCUCUUGGUGGACGUGGACGGUGUGAAGGUGGAGGUACUUACAAUGUUUGAAGGGGGGGGAGUGGGGAGC